CCCUGUGUUAGCAUUUAGCUGUCUGUGAAUAUACUUUAAAUGAUUCAUCUACGUCAGCUGUUCAGGAGAACGCUGUGACGUUGCUGUGAAGCUCCAGAAAUGCUUUGAGCUCUGAGAAACUUCACCUGACUUUAUAAGAUAUUCAACAAUCAGGAGCUGACGUACGCCAGAAUGAAACGCAGCCACGAGACAGACCGUGUUACGACCGCUGCAACUACAACUCUUCAGCCAUCACUGUACUAUUCAUCCACAGCUGGAGAGAAGAAGUCUUGUCUGAGAGCUGUCAGAAGUCAUCCCGGGAAAUCAACAACUUAAGUAGUAGCAGGUGAGGCUGAAGUGGAGCCGAGAAAAACUGUAAAUUACAACACUUGUUCGCAAAAAAACUUCUAGAAGGCAUCAUCAUCAUCAUCAUCAUCAUCAUCAUCACGGAUGGAUGUUAUCCAACGCGUUACACAACACUUGAAGACGUCUGCUCAGAGCCGGCUCAUUCUGGAGGAGCGAGCAGAACCAGAAGUUCUGAUCUACAACCGGAGAUUAAAAAGUGGAUUCAUCAUCGCUCCUGUUUAACAACGUGACUGCAGCAGUGAUCCACAGAGCUGAUCUCCACUGUUGGGAACCUUAGAGAGGCAGAGUGAAGUGUGCUCCUGCUCUCUGGCCUCAGCUGCUCAGGUUGUUCCACACAGAACGUUGACUAAAAGGCGUCUCAUGGUCUUCAGUGAAGACGGUGGAUCAGACAGAGGGGCUCUGCCCAAAGACCUCGGGGUGCACCCAGGCUUGGAAGGAGUUAGAAGAGGCAGGACAACCAGGAUGAGUGAUGGAAUGAUAAGGAGGAACCCUACAGUACCUCCAGGUGAUGGUCUACAGCGCCGUAUCCCCAAAUCCCUCCACCUGGCAGAUUCUCCCUCCUGUUUCUCCACUCCAAACAUCAUUAUCACCCCAUCUUCCAUUAUAGAAUCCAAACACUCCCUGUGAAAUCAUAUCUCCCACACUCAUAUCUACCAUCUUUGUACAGAACAUUUCUCAUAUUGUUUUUUUACACUCCAACAUUGUUCUUGUUUGAGUUAUUUUCUCUGCAUUUCUUUCUCAUUUAACAGUCGUAUCUUAAUGACAGUCUGACCUCUUCUGCUCACUGCAGUUAGUUUCCAAUAUGAGUGAUCUUAGAAUCUAACCCAUG